rnacentral:lncRNA from 1 species
GUGGUGAUGGGCAUCUGUAAUCCCAGCUACUCGGGAGGCUGAGGCAGGAGAAUCACUUGAACCCGGGAGGCAGAGGUUGCAGUGAGCCGAGAUCGCACCCCUGCACUCCAGCCUGGGUGACAGAGCAAGACUCCAUCUCAAAAAAAAUAAAGGAAAUAUGCGUCGUUGGAUGCUGUAUGACAAUCAAGCUACUUAUAACAAACAAAAUUGAGAAUGAAGACCAAACCAAUGCACAACUCCUACGUACUGAUGGUGGUCUUACGUUUCCCUAAGUUUCUGCCGACUAAACUGUGCACACGUUCUCAGGACCUCCUGAAGCUGCGUCACAGGCGCUGAUCAAAGAACACAACCAAGGUGAGUGUCAAUCAUUUCAAGAAAUCUAUUUGCAAGGUUAAGGACACACCUGAGAAAAGAACAGAGAACCACAGGAAAAACUGUGGUCCGUGCUUUUCCCAAAGAUUGUCUGGGGGCCUCAGUAAGUAAAGGGGAAAAGUGCGGGUAUUGGGGAAAGGGGAAGAAGUGGAAAAAAUGGGUGUGGGUAAAUCAGAGGCAAAUGGUUGCAUUCUUCUGUCUUUGGUCAGUGUUCACUGAAUACACAUUUUACAUGCGAUGGAGGUAGAGGCAGGGAUGUAGCUUUUUUAUCUUUGUGUAAUAGCUAUCUUAUUUAGGAACCAGAUGGGAAGCAGGUUUGCAUAAGCCAGUUCCCAGCUUGGCUUUUCCCUUUGGCUUAGUGAGUCUGGGG